UUAAUUGCUGCGUUGGAGAGACUCGUUGCCUUCAGUUCUCAGUUCUCACCGAAAUCCUAUUUUAGGGUAACAAGCCGCCAGCGAGAAACUAGUCUCUCUGUUCAUGGGCGAAUUCGAGUUUUGAAAAAUUUUGUUCUUGAAAUCCUGCUUUAGGUAAAUGAAUAUAUUUCCAGAGUUUCUAUUACAUAGACAAAGAAUUUUCCUUUACUUACGUUUUGCCUGCAAGUACGGUGCACCCGGGCGUCUCCGAGAUUGAAAUGACGAUGGUUUCCGCAAUGCUCGUGCAAGAGUAUUCAGCCGUUCUGUGUUACAGUUUCAUACGUGUUAGAUCAACGGCAGAAGUUUUGGAAUUUUCAAUUUUUAGCUGAUUGCUUUUGGUUCUUGCCUUACCUCACCUUUCGCUUUUUAAGAUAUCAAUACCUGAAAAGCUUAGUCAUGAAGGCAUAUAUUGUAUUGCGGGAUUAACGUGGAGACUGCUCUUCUUUUCCUGGGGUUGUCUCUAAAACAUCUCGCUACAUUCCUCUCACGUAUAUUCUCAGUAGCCCAUUUUUUCCUAUUGAAGCAUAGCAUGUAAAGGGCUGAACAUUGUUUAGUCUUAUUCUUCAGUUAAUUUGCUUGUUCUGUUGAUUGCGUGUGUCUAACUUGUUGCCUAAACAAUUACUUGAUGCACUUAUAGGUUAUCGCUUAUCUUUUAUCUAUUUGAUGUCUUAAAGAUCAAACGCGCAUGGCUGCGAGGAUAUUACACAGCAUCUAAUGUCAGUUCUGCUUCUGAAUUUCAUGAAUGAGAAGCUGAUAGUAAAACUGAGCCAUUGCCUUUUUCGUUUGCUUGUUUUAUAUGCUUUUCAUUUUUUUACUUCCUCUCUUUGGUUAGUUCUGGAGCAGUAUUAACCUAAUGAAGCUGAAGAAACCCAUGAUGCUUUGUUCCAAUUAGUGAGCUUUAGCAUGUUCCGAGACCCUGUUUGUCAGGGAGAACCCCUUGGGACUGCUAAAUUAAAAUGAUCUUAUUGGUAUUUGCUGAGGUUGUCACUUUUCUGCUUCUGUUUUGUUUACUGAUGUCAUGGUUUAAGUGAACGAGAUUGCAGGUAAAAGAGUUUUUUGUGUUUGGUUAUGUACUACUUUAUUUACUUUUCACAGCAUCAUAUAUGUAAAUCUUUGUAAAAUUAGCGUUUUGAUAGUAUAGUUUUUCAUUUUUUUAAUCCCAGGUAAGUUAUUUCAGAAGGAUUAGUCACACAAAUGAACCAGUAAUGCGUGAAGCCAUCAUCUUCUUAGACUUUUUAACUGUGUAAUUUCUAGAUACUGUAACUUAUGAAAGCCCUUAACACAUCUAUGGUGUUUAGUUUUUCUUUGUUAUUUGUAUAUUAUGAUCUUUUACCAAUGAUGAUUUGUCUGCAAAAUGGAUGUGUUGUGAAACCAAGACCCUGUUUGUAGGGAGAACCUACUUGGGGAAGCAUCACUAAUAUGACAUCAACAGAUAUGUCUGAGGUUGUAAUAUUAAACUCGAGCCAAACAUUCUUUUUUAUGGUUAAUUGCUUUUUCUUCUUCAUCAUGCCUUAUAUUAUUUUUUAUUCAAUUGGUGUAGCUGUUUAAAAUUUCUUAACAAUCUAAGUAUGAAAAACCAAGUAUAUUUGUAAACAUCUUAAUGGAUACAUUCAUCUUUAUUUCCUUGCAGAACUUAAAAAACUUUGAAUGUUGCAUGUUGUGUGCUUGAUUUCUAUUUCUCUGGAUAUUUUCAAUCGCCAGUUCAGUUUAAGAUUUUGAUUUUAGAAUUUGGUAAUCUUUGAGUUUAACUAUCCUCUUGCGCUGCAUUUAUAUGGUGGGCAUGGAGGCUGAAAAACUCACAUAGUUUGUGUUGUCAUCAGCUUCUUUUUUCAUUGUAAAACUGAAGUUAAACAUGAACACAACAUUUCCUACAUACUAUAUUUGCUCUUUGGUUAUUGAAGCCUGUCCGGUUUGAAAAAAUGCAUUUACUUAAUUGCAAAUUGAGUGUUUGGUUCCAAUGCAAUUUGAUUUUCAUACCUAUGAAAUGCAUUUCUUAUCACUGCAUUCCUCACCUACUGUAGAUGAAAAACAGGAAAGAAAAUGUUUAUGGGGUACUGUUAUGAUUUGCAUGUCUCCACCCACAAUGGCUCAAUUUAUGCUCAACCAAACAAGUGGGAUAAAAUUAAUCUCCACUCAGUUUUUUUCCAUUGCCUCAACUAUUUCUCUUUCAUGUUCCUUCUCCCAAAUCUUUUUAAAGCAGAGCUGAAGUGAAAUUUUUGUAUGGUUCAUCUUUGUAUCAUGAGGAACUUGUGGGCAAGGAAGUGACUGCAGUUGAAGAAUGAUCUUGCAGCCAGAGGUUUUCUUUGUUCUUCGAUCUCGAAUGGAAAAAUUAUUUUGCGGACACCGGAUGCCUUCUGGUGAUCAAUUAGAAUGUGUCACAUCACUUUUUUGCUCCGUACUGUUUGUACUGGAUGAUUUGAUGUAUUCUGAUUGGUCUCCAGACCGUUUGGUAUCCGAACAGAAUAAUUUCUCCCGUGAAUUAGUGGCGGAUUAAGAAAAGUGAUAGCACAUGUCCGGUAGGAGUCAUAAGAGAAUUUGUUUAGUUAAUGUAUAUGUAUGCACAGUUGUUCUAUCGGAUUAUUAGUCUUAUGAUUACUAUAAUGAAAUUUAACUUUGCAAAACAA